UCCUUCAAGUUUCUUGGGCUAUUUGGAGUCAUCCUUCUAGGAAGUAAUCGAUGAGGCCCAGCAUUUGUACUAACUCUCAGCACAAAAACACCCAGACUGCAGGUGAAGAAAAUGUUCAGAGAGGUCAAGUCGCUUGCCUGAGGUAACUCACAGAGCCGCGUGUUUCACACUGAAGCCCCCUCUGACCCCAGCUGGAGUUCUUCUGGCUGUGCUGUACACAACAGAGAAAUCAGUGACACUGCAGACCUACUGGGUGUGAGACAGAAAUGAUAGGCUCACCCCUGCUCACAUCCUGGUGGUCACAUCCCAACUGGGGUUUUCAUCUCGCUUGGUCCCCAGGCCAACCUGGGGUGCAGGUAGUGUGAUCCCCAGUGUAACAGAUGGCAGCUCAAAGGGGUCUGGGGACCCACUUCUGAGUGGGAUUUGGGCCCGGUGUGGGGUGAUCCCAGGGAGGGCUUCAGAGGCAAAGAGGGCCCAGGUUAUUGUUCAGUUCCAGAGGGUACUGGGUGUAGGGGCUCAGGAAUGCUUUCAGCUGCAUGUAACUGAAGCCCAGCAGCUUAACCAGGCAUUACGUCUGGAGGCAGUUAUGGUAUGGUUCAGCAGCUUUGUCCUAAUUCCUGUUAACUUUCAUCCUGAUGUCUGUCACCUGAUGUUUGCAGGAUGGUUGCUUCUGUUCUGGGUGCCAUACCCAUCUUCAAGCAGGAAGCAAGGGAGGAGGAGCAGCACCUGCUGUUGCUUCCCUUUAUCAGGAAAAGAGCCUCCCCACAAGUCCACCUAGCAGACUUCCCUUACAACCCAGUGGUCCAGAUGGAGUCACACUGUCCCUUCCAGCUGCGAGGAAGACUUUCAGGCCCUGGACUAGGCCAGACACAGGAGGGAAAUUCAGAGGUGGUAGGCUUACUCCUGCUCACACAAGACUCACCACUUAGGGGGGUUUGUAAAAGCUGAAGGUCCUCAGGCCUCCUGCCCCAGGAGGAGACUAGGCUUCAUCUUGUAGAAUCCAGAAGGCCCGUGGGAGAGGAUGUCUAACCUGGGCUCUAAAGGUGAAAGAGUGUUAAAUCUGUGAAUAUUAAAGGCCACUAAUUGUUCAGUUUGUGAUUACAUUCUUCCUCUAAGACGGCUGGUCCUGAAUAUCCUCCUGUUGUUAGCUUAGGACUCUCUGUUACCUGCACAGGGCAGCUUGACACUUAACUCCUGCCUCCUCUCUGCCAGCUCUGGGGGAGGCCCGUGUGUGCUGCCCAGUGUUGGAGGUCACCUCUUGAGUCAUCAGGGCCCUGGGAGGAGUCCUUGUGGCAGUUGGCAGCAGUGAUGGGAAACACAGUGCUCGUUAGGGUCAGCCCAGUGGGCUUGGUGUCAGGAGAGCCAACUGAUUUCCAUUGUUUCUUGGCUGCUUGGGUCUGGGCGUCUGAAUUUGUCAGUCCUCCCCUCUAGGCCUUGCUUGUGUUACAUGACUUGGGGGCAUCAUUCUGCUUCCCUUCUAGCUGUCUGAGGAGGUGGCUUGAGGCGUCAUUGCUUAGCAGAGAUUAGCGUCACAUAUUCUAUUUAUAGAGCAACUCACGGCCUCUCUCUGUCGAAUUGCAUCUGUAAUUUCAGAGGUGGGUGGCAGGUGCCAGCAUACCCAUUUCAGAGGUGGGGAAACUCAGGAGGACUCAGGGUAAGUGAUGCCCACGGCUGCACAGAGGGUAAAUAGCCUAGCUGGGACUAGGACCAAGAGUCUUUCUUGGCAUCGUGGAGCUGGUGUUCUGUGUCACAGACAUCAGGAUUGAGCUGUGGUGCAGGGCCACCUAGAGCUGGUGUGAGAGCUGCCUCUGCCCUCUCAGUGCUAAUAAUUAAUUGCAGGUUUUGUGUGUGGUUCUGUUUGGGAAUCGCUCAUACAUAUAUCACAGCCCGAGGGUGGGAGGAAGCUGUGCAUCUGAUGUCCUAAUUAUUUACGGGCAUUUCACAUGCAGUUAAUCUUUCUUGCCAUCACUUAACUCCAGCACUGUGCUGGGCAUGAGGCCAUUGUAGCAGAUGCUGGUGCUGCGGCUGUCAGCCUUGGCAGCCCUGGGCUUUGGACAGGUCAGGGUCAUGUGUCUGCUGGGUGCAUUGGUUAAUGCCAAAUAGUAGCAGCCAGCCGACAGGAGCAGGCAAUGGACAUGCCUAGUGUUCCCCUGCUUGUGGAGCCAGGAACUGGAAUGGUUCAUCUGCUAUUCCUGAUGAAUUGCAGCAUCCCAGAGCUAGGAUUCUAGAGCAUCAGCUGUCUAACCUCCUCAUCUCAUAGACCCAAACUGGAUGUGAAAUGCCUAAAGCCCCUUGCCAGUUAGUGGCUGACCUGGCAUCCUCAUCUGUGACCACAUCACACAACUUUGCUUUUAUCGUUUCCUCGUUCUGCAACUCCCAGCCUGCUGGUCACAUUGUCUCCAGUGCCAACUCAAUGUAGGUUCCAAGUUGUAGCAUAUGAAGUGACUCAUUUGUUCUCAGGUGACAGAAGCCAGCUGGAGCCAGCUCAACUAAAGUAGGGAAUGUCACUGCUCUCACAGC